rnacentral:lncRNA from 1 species
GAAACAGUGCGCUGGGGGAACCAGACACUUCCGUCAGCAGCCGGUUUUAGGGAACAGACAGACCACCUGCCUCUGUAGCAAAGACCAUCACUAACUUCACAACAGGUGUCCUGCCUCCACUCCAACUGCGACAAGUGGAAAAUAAUCAUUUACGGGAAGCAGGACGGUGCUGCCUUGUGGCCGCAGAUUUGCACAAUCAAGACGCUUUCAGGUUUUGCAACAGAACCCGAGAGGUGGGGUCAGAGUCUGCUGUUGGGGAAAGAGCUGGCUGGGGACCAGGGAUGAGAGAGGUGCCUGAACUUUGGCCCAGCGUCGGGGUGAGCUGGCAGACAGCCGCUCCUGAGAACAGGCUGGCGUCAGGGGUUUCUGACUGGGUCUUUCACCUCCUCGUGUGACACUGCAGGCUGCUGGUCACCCUCUGGAUUGGCUGCCUCAGUCAAGUCCUUACCUCCGGUCCCAUCUGCUGGGCCAGGAUGUCACCUCUUUCCUCCUUUUCUGCGGUGAUAUGGUGCAUUGAGAAUAGCUGACAGUGACUUCGCACAAUCCAGUUCCUGCUAUAGAAUUCUGCAGUUUCGCCACGAGCCCAAAUAAGAGGAAAUCUGUCCUCCGCCUUGCUUGGUCUGGAGUAAUUAUUUGUUCCGUGUCAAAAAAGCAUUUUCUGUAUUUUUU